rnacentral:rRNA from 1 species
UUUUAUGAGAGUUUGAUCCUGGCUCAGGACGAACGCUGGCGGCGUGCCUAAUACAUGCAAGUCGACCCAUCCCUUUGCC